AUGGCGUCCAAGGCAUUCCCAGCUCUGGUCCUUGUGGCGCUCGUCUGCGGCCAGCUUGUGGUCGACGGCCAUGCCCAGCCCUACACCGGCGGCGGCCGCAUCAGGGGAGGAGGAUCUGCCGACGGAGUGCAGCCACCGACUUACACCACCACCCAUGGCCACUCCUCCACCAUCGGAGAAUACAACGGUGCUGCAAGGCCUUCAGCCGUGGAAGAAGACAAGGCCUUCAUGGUCAACAGCCUGCCGGCGCACGACCGCCCGCUUCCUGUCCCGCCUUCCGGCCACUAG
rnacentral:rRNA from 1 species